CUCCAAUAUUUUUAACACUCCCUCCCAUUUUUAUUGGCCAAAAAAAAUAAACAUUAAUAAAUGACCAAACAUUAACUUUUUCACUUCACUUUACUCUUUCACUGCACUUUCUUCGUUCAGCUUUCCUCCUUCACAUUUUCAUCCAGAUUUUCGAUGAACCAAAGAGAUGAUGAACCAAGCUGAAGAGAGGUGAAGAUAGCUGAAGAACCGAUUCUCCUUUCUGAUACACGCUGAAGAGUUGAGUUGAAGAGUUGCAGUCAUCAAAGAACUCAUAUCUCAAGUCGUCUUCUCCAAAUAACAAUUUUUUGAAGAGCAAGAAUGAAUAUUUUUGGGUUGUUGGCAAGAUGAUGAAUUGAAGCUAAUUAGUCUCUCUGUCACACUUUUCUCUCAAGUUUCUCACUGAAGAACACAAUUUCAAACAGAUUUUGUUGGAGUAGGUUUUAUCAGUUUUCCCAAUCUUUGUUCGAGUUCGUGAUUCUGCCCGGAAUUCUCAUCCGUUGUUAGUGUUCAAGUUUCUUGGUGAAGAUCGUUUCCCUGCUCGUCCCGUUCCAGUUCACUGCCUGAAGAAAGAUAUCAAAUAUCGGUCUAUCUUCUGGAGGGGGUUGUUGGUUUGUAAACGCAAAUUUUCCCCCUGCUUGGCCACAAAUGAUUCUGUAAAUAGGGAAAUGGAGGUGAUCAAAUUUGAAGGGUCCCUACAAGUAAAUUUGAUCUCAUUGAAGUGGAUUAUGAAGAUUUUUUGAACUAUUAUAAAAGUUUAAAUACAUUAUGUUUGAUUUGUGAAAUAUAUUCUUUGCUAGAAUAUAUUGAACUAUUGUAAGAGUACUUUUUGAACAAUUGUGUACACAUAUUUAUAAUAGUUGUAUAAGUAUGUGUAAGUACACAAGACGUACUAUCUUUUGAAGCUUAUUGCAUAUCUAUAUAUUUGAAUUUCUUAUGAGCCAA